ensembl:lncRNA
GUAAGUACAGAAAUUUGAAAUCAAGCCAUGCACACUGUUGCCAGUUGUUUUAAGGCCACAGCAUUUACACCUAUAAAUGAGAACCUUUAAAAGAAUCAUUAUAAUUAUAGACACCAGCCUUGUUACUUAAUUACAUCCUGGUGUAGCCUCUGCAACUCAAAAAGUUUACAGGCAGUUUAAGAACUGAGAAGUUAAAUGUAUUUUAAAAUGUGUACACUGUGGUGCUUCUGAAUAAUUCUUUGCUACUACUCAGUGCCAGCUCAGAAUUUCACACCCUUGAACAGAUUGACUGGUUUGGCUUGUGUAAUAGGUAGCCUGCUAUCCUGGACUACUUGGUGAGUGGGUGGAGAUGGGUGCUUUUGGAAAUGCCAAUUGAUAGCUAACCAUAACAAGUCAGAGUUAUGUGUGAGUUGAGAAGGUAGAUCUAUCUUAAGCAAAAUGGUUCUACUGAGAUGCCUAGGAGCAACCAUAAAACUAGCAAGAAUGCUUUGCAAAUCAGCCAAGAGCAGUUACUGCAGACAUUGGGAAGGUUUCUGGUAGGGGUUCUGGGGAGCAGCUUUAGGGGUGCUCAUGUUUGCCACCUAAAGGUUACCCAGCCCUUUAUGAUGCAGUGUUGGCAGUGCAGUUCUCACAGGGGAUUGUUCUUCAGGACAAUACUGUGUUACCUUUGAUGCUUUUGCUUUCUGAACAGGAAGGAAAGGCACAUGGGAAGUCUAAAAAAAGGAGAAUUUUAAUUCAAAGACAUAAUGUAACACCACCCUCAAAAUACUCAUUCCCACUGUGUCAGCUACUGUAAAACAAAACAAAACAAAACAAAUCGAAACAAAACAAAACACCCAACUAUCUACUUGUGCAUGCUAUAACUCAUUAAAUAAAACUCGAUGGACUUUUGCCCUUAUAUUUUGGAGAAAACAUAGACCAGUAUCUUGUAUUAUUUAUUGUCUGACUUUUUUUUUUUUCUUUUUUUUUCCUUGCCUUCCAAAUUCCAACAAGACAAAGUGAAUGCAUUUUAAAUUGUUAUUUACAAUGUGAGCACUCUUAGCGUUGUUCUCUGUACUGAGCAACAUCUUUGUCUUGGAGACAUUACAAUUCUGAGCAGUUGAGAAGCCUGAAGACAAACUUCACUGUUAACUUAGCCAUCUGACUUCUGUCAGAGUCACCUGAGCCCAGUGGGUCUGGUCAGAAAUGUCUGAAAUCCUCCCAGGUCUUGGGAAGACAGGCUGCUUGAGAUCGUAUAGGGCACUGCUGGCAGCACAGAGCACAUUCCUAUGUUUACAGGCCCUACAUGAUAUUUCAGGCAGCUCUUGUUUCUGCGGCUAUGACCUGUUGCUGAGAGUCAAGCCACUAUGUAAACAAGAAGGACUUCAAACUCACAGUGUGUUGCUUUCCAGAGCAAGUGGUCAUUUGUUCCAGUUUCCCAUGACCACAUUACUGCUUGGGCUUAUUCAGAAAAAUACAUCAAUUUGCAGCAUUAAUGCUAGGCAAGGAAGAGGGGUUGGAAGUACAGACUGCAUUAGUACAUAUUAUUAAAUGUGCCAAGAGGAUAAUGUUACCUUAUCCCCAGUUUCAGCACUUUAAAAUGCUCUCAUUAUUAAAAUGAAAAAAAAAGAAAAAAAGUUCAAACAUUCAAACUUGUGUAGCCAAAAUCCAACUUAGGAAAUACAUUAUUUAACUAUUAGCAAGAUGAUCUGACUUUAACACUCCAUCCGUUAUACCAAUUUCUCCACUGAUGCCAUUCAAAAUCAUUUAUUUUUCAUUGCAUUUAUAACUAUAUCCAGAAAGAAACAGGAAAAGCAAUAUCAGAGGGUGAUUUACAUUGCACUGGAUUUCACUGCAACUUGGCAUUGUGAAUAAAUCUUUGGAAUACUCAAAAAGUACACAAGGAAAAAGCCAGGUUUUAAUUUGCUGAAGAAAAUAUUCUGACAUGGUGAUAAGUGAGGUAACCAAAAAUCAUGGCUUAAAAACAUUCUGAAUGACUGCUGUUUCAGCUGUCCCAAUCCACACGAUGGUAUUAAAACAGACCGGUGGUAAAGAACACUCACAACCUAUUUCUACCUGGGAAUAUUAACUCUCACUUGCUGACUGUUAUGUGGAAUUAAUGUGGACAUUUCCAGUUGUAUAUGCAUUACUGCAGCUCUUGUUUUCAGAAUCGGGGAUUCAUAUUUAGUAGCAUGCAGUGUAAAUCGGAGGCUAAUCUGACAUCUUUAAUUCACACGUAAAUCUGAGGCAGCUACUCUGAAGCUAGUGAGGUUUCCUCAGAUUUAUAUCUCCAUUGCUAAAAACAGAGCACAGUGGUCUAUUUUUAGAUAACCUGGAAUUGCCAUACGUUGAGAUGUGCUACCUACCCUGGUGUCUUCAUGAAAAUGCUCAAGCCUGUUUGAAAAUAUAAAUUAAUUUUAAUGCAGUUGGGAAACCUUCUGUGCAUGCAAAUAUGCCACAGCCUUCACUAGCCUGCCUGCUGCCGUGUAUAACUGCUGAGGGAUGACGGUCCUUCCUCUCUACAUUACUUUUCAGACAAACCCCGUUUAUGGCACAGAAAUUAUUUUUUUUCAGGUAACACUUACAGAGCAUCUAAAUAUUUAAUACAGCUUAUCGUUAAUGGGUAGAAUAUAAGUUGAUUUUAGUGAUUGUCUUUUCCCCUAGUAGCAUCAAAAGACAAUAGAAUUAUUCUUCACCCAGGACUUGAAAAACCAGGACCAUGGUGUGUUAACCGCAAAGCUGAUGGAAAUAUCCUUCCCCGUCAAUAUCCCAAGCACCCCUCCUGCCCUCCUGCUCUAAGAAGAAAGUGGAAAGCAAGGCUGGGGGCAGGGAGCACCCCUAUUCAUGAGGAAUCCCUACAGCCUCCAUUUGUCCAUCUGUCCAAGUGUGCUCAGACAGAGUCAGCAGUUGGGGCGGCCAAGCUCCCCAGGCCUAGCAAUUAAAUAUAAAAAAACUGUCUUUAUCCAAACAGGCCAUCUAUAUUUUGGAAAUUUCCAUCGCACUUCCUUCUGAAGUCCUACUUUUCUUAAAGUGCACAGCAGCAGUUAUGCUAGGGUAGCAGUGGCUAUUCUCCAAGCAUGUUGAAGAACCAGGACAGUCUAUUAGCUCAAUAAAAAAGGAAAUCAAAUGGGAGGAAAGGAAAGAAAGAUAUGAAAACAGGGACACAAGGAGGUGAAAUGACAUAACUGCUCCACACUCGGAGUUCAGCAAGGAAAGUGACAGUAGGCAUCAGCCCUCCCAGCUCAUGUUACCAUGCUGAAACUUACAAAACUCUACUUCUUCAAAAGCUUGCCCUUUUGAUGAUACUGCAAAUAAUAACACAAUUGUACAGUGAUGAAUGGCAGUCCCGUGCCCUUACUGACAAGUUAGUGAAUGGACAGUACUGAAAAUAAUUUGUAAGAUGAUGAUGUUUAUGGUGAUGAUAACAUAAUAAAUCGAUAGCUGAAUUCUAUGCAAGAUGUUUCAUUAAUUCUUUUGUAGAUGUCUGCCAAGGGGAUAAGUAGUAUUGCAUUAAACACAUGGUUGGAUGCCUUUCAGAAGUUAUUUACAAGAUGCUCCUCCAAAUUAAGUAAUUUUUUUUACUUUUCUUCUUUGCUUGUCUGUAAGUAAAGGUGAGCUUGUGCUCACGUAAUUUGGAAGUCACAAAGUUUUGUUAAUUUCUGUUUCUGCAGGACUUUGAGAAUACAAAGCCUCUUCAGAAGGGCACAAUCUUCUUGCUAUUUAUCUCACCAUCAGUUAUGACUGGCCCUCCUCUCACACUGACACCAAUGAUGGUGAAAUUUCUGCAGAGCAG